rnacentral:rRNA from 1 species
GACGAACGCUGGCGGCGUGCCUAAUACAUGCAAGUUGAGCGCUGAAGGUUGGUACUUGUCCCAACUGGCUGAGCAGCAAACGGGUGAGUAACGCGUGGGGAAUCUGCCUUUGAGCGGGGGACAACAUUUGGAAACGAAUGCUAAUACCGCAUAAAAACUUUAAACACAAGUUUUAAGUUUGAAAGAUGCAAUUGCAUCACUCAAAGAUGAUCCCGCGUUGUAUUAGCUAGUUGGUGAGGUAAAGGCUCACCAAGGCGAUGAUACAUAGCCGACCUGAGAGGGUGAUCGGCCACAUUGGGACUGAGACACGGCCCAAACUCCUACGGGAGGCAGCAGUAGGGAAUCUUCGGCAAUGGACGAAAGUCUGACCGAGCAACGCCGCGUGAGUGAAGAAGGUUUUCGGAUCGUAAAACUCUGUUGGUAGAGAAGAACGUUGGUGAGAGUGGAAAGCUCAUCAAGUGACGGUAACUACCCAGAAAGGGACGGCUAACUACGUG